rnacentral:rRNA from 1 species
GCUCAAAUUUGAAAUCUAGUACCUUCGGUGCUCGAGUUGUAAUUUGGAGAUAGUUUUCUGGUGCUGGCCCUUGUCUAUGUUCCUUGGAACAGGACGUCAUAGAGGGUGAGAAUCCCGUCUGAUGGGGUGUCCAGUGCUUUGUAGAUUUCUAUCGAAGAGUCGAGUUGUUUGGGAAUGCAGCUCUAAGUGGGUGGUAAAUUCCAUCUAAAGCUAAAUAUUGGCGAGAGACCGAUAGCGAACAAGUACAGUGAUGGAAAGAUGAAAAGAACUUUGAAAAGAGAGUGAAAAAGUACGUGAAAUUGUUGAAAGGGAAGGAUAUUGGAUCAGACUUGGUGUUUUGUGAUUAUCUUCCCUUCUUGGGUUGUGCACUCGCAUUUCACUGGGCCAGCAUCGAUUCGGAUGGCAAGAUAAUGGCUUGGGAACGUGGCUCU